rnacentral:hammerhead_ribozyme from 1 species
AUCAAUCUGACGGGUCCCAAAUAGGAGGGAACGCGCGUCCUGGAU